rnacentral:rRNA from 1 species
GAUGAACGCUGGCGGCGUGCCUAAUACGUGCAAGUCGAGCGAACGGACGAGAAGCUUGCUUCUCUGAUGUUAGCGGCGGACGGGUGAGUAACACGUGGAUAACCUACCUAUAAGACUGGGAUAACUUCGGGAAACCGGAGCUAAUACCGGAUGAUAUUUUGAACCGCAUGGUUCAAAAGUGAAAGACGGUCUUGCUGUCACUUAUAGAUGGAUCCGCGCUGCAUUAGCUAGUUGGUAAGGUAAUGGCUUACCAAGGCAACGAUGCAUAGCCGACCUGAGAGGGUGAUCGGCCACACUGGAACUGAGACACGGUCCAGACUCCUACGGGAGGCAGCAGUAGGGAAUCUUCCGCAAUGGGCGAAAGCCUGACGGAGCAACGCCGCGUGAGUGAUGAAGGUCUUCGGAUCGUAAAACUCUGUUAUUAGGGAAGAACAUAUGUGUAAGUAACUGUGCACAUCUUGACGGUACCUAAUCAGAAAGCCACGGCUAACUACGUG